AUGAACCAUUUCCCCCAGCCCUCUGCCUGCAGUUACCACAGUAACCACACCUCUCCUCCAAAAUAGCUUAGAUAGAACAGUUGUUGUUUCCUGUUUUUUGAGCCAUUUCCUGUGAAGUAUACCUUAUAAAAAGGUUAGACACCAAUAAGAAGGGCUGCAGAGGUCAUCAGCCAUGGCAAUGGUACUGUGGUGGACCCUGUUGUGGAUAUCAGGAUACUGUCACAGACUUUCAGCUGAGGUGUUGGUGCAGUACAAAUACUUCCUUUCUGAGCAGAUACGGGGGGUCACUCUACCAGCCCCUGCUGAGACCAACGGGACAGAAUUCAUCUGGGAGUGGACGUCACAUGAUGGAAGCUACACAAACACUCGGAUAAUAACUAUACAGUCCGAUGGAACGUAUUCAUGGAAUUUGAAGAAGGAGUCUAUUUCAAAACAAAGGAAGUAUGACAUUUAUCUGCGAGCAAAUUGGAAAGAUGCAGGAGUUUUUACUUUUAGUAAAACUAAACCAAAGAAAGUAAAAGUGGCCCAGUUUGAAGUGUUCGCUAUAAAAGUGGAACCGUUGAGCUGGUCCAGAGAAAAUGAAGGUUGUGAUGUGAUCAGGAGCUGUGAAGUAUCACACCUUCCAGAUUCAGCUACACUGGACUGGGAAAGGGACAGAGAACCUACUGCUAACACAACGCUGUUCUACAACAACACUGCCCACAUCAUCAUCCACAGUGCUGACCAAUACAGUGAGGGAUCAUAUUACUGCACACUCAGAUGGAACGGAGCACUUAUUUUCAGCAUUCCCAGUAAAUUUGAAGUCAAUUUGAAGGGUAUGUUACUAUGGAUACGGUUUUCACUGGAGCAUUUGCAAAAGCAUCCUGAGCUUUAACCGUUUUUCAUAAGUGAAUUUAUAACUGUGAAGCAGUUCUUUCAUUAAGAUUAAAGAUACACCCAAGU